GAUGAACGCUGGCGGCGUGCCUAAUACAUGCAAGUCGAGCGAACAGAUGAGGAGCUUGCUCCUCUGACGUUAGCGGCGGACGGGUGAGUAACACGUGGAUAACCUACCUAUAAGACUGGGAUAACUUCGGGAAACCGGAGCUAAUACCGGAUAAUAUAUUGAACCGCAUGGUUCAAUAGUGAAAGACGGUUUUGCUGUCACUUAUAGAUGGAUCCGCGCCGCAUUAGCUAGUUGGUAAGGUAACGGCUUACCAAGGCAACGAUGCGUAGCCGACCUGAGAGGGUGACCGGCCACACUGGAACUGAGACACGGUCCAGACUCCUACGGGAGGCAGCAGUAGGGAAUCUUCCGCAAUGGGCGAUAGCCUGACGGAGCAACGCCGCGUGAGUGAUGAAGGUCUUCGGAUCGUAAAACUCUGUUAUUAGGGAAGAACAAAUGUGUAAGUAACUAUGCACGUCUUGACGGUACCUAAUCAGAAAGCCACGGCUAACUACGUG
rnacentral:rRNA from 1 species